rnacentral:rRNA from 1 species
AUUAAUGACUUUGAAGGGGUUGUAGCUGGCCUUUUCGUCUGAGGGGCAUUUUGUGCACACCCUGAUCGUUGUCCGUUUCACACCUGUGCACACACUGUAGGUUGGCUUUCCGGGUGAAGCCUUUCACUGGCUUUGCUUUGUGGCCCUCCUAUGUUUUAUCACAAACUACACUGUUAAAAGAAUGUCUAUCGCGUGUAACGCAUUAUAUACAACUUUCAGCAACGGAUCUCUUGGCUCUCGCAUCGAUGAAGAACGCAGCGAAAUGCGAUAAGUAAUGUGAAUUGCAGAAUUCAGUGAAUCAUCGAAUCUUUGAACGCACCUUGCGCUCCUUGGUAUUCCGAGGAGCAUGCCUGUUUGAGUGUCACGGAAUUAUCAACUCUCUUUGCUUAUGCGAAUAGAUGUUGGAUUUGGAGGUGUAUUGCUGGGAAUACAUUUGUGUCCGGCUCCUCUUGAAUGCAUUAGCUCGAGCCUUUGUGAAUCAGCUUUGGUGUGAUAAUUGUCUACGCCUUUCUGUGAAGCGUACUGUGGGACUCGGCUUCUAACCGUCCGUUUAACGGACAGUACCAUAUGACCUCUGACCUCAAAUCAGGUAGGGUUACCCG